rnacentral:rRNA from 1 species
UGGGGAAUUUUGGACAAUGGGCGAAAGCCUGAUCCAGCAAUGCCGCGUGUGUGAAGAAGGCCUUCGGGUUGUAAAGCACUUUUGUCCGGAAAGAAAUCCUUGGCUCUAAUACAGUCGGGGGAUGACGGUACCGGAAGAAUAAGCACCGGCUAACUACGUGCCAGCAGCCGCGGUAAUACGUAGGGUGCAAGCGUUAAUCGGAAUUACUGGGCGUAAAGCGUGCGCAGGCGGUUUGCUAAGACCGAUGUGAAAUCCCCGGGCUCAACCUGGGAACUGCAUUGGUGACUGGCAGGCUAGAGUAUGGCAGAGGGGGGUAGAAUUCCACGUGUAGCAGUGAAAUGCGUAGAGAUGUGGAGGAAUACCAAUGGCGAAGGCAGCCCCCUGGGCCAAUACUGACGCUCAUGCACGGAAGCGUGGGGAGCAAACAGGAUUAGAUACCCUGGUAGUCCACGCCCUAAACGAUGUCAACUAGUUGUUGGGGAUUCAUUUCCUUAGUAACGUAGCUAACGCGUGAAGUUGACCGCCUGGGGAGUACGGUCGCAAGAUUAAAACUCAAAUGAAUUGACGGGGUCAUAGCUGUUUCCU